AUUACCGAAGCUGUGGAUUGUCCUUUGGACAAUGGUAGGAGAGCGUUCUAAGGGCGUUGAAGCAUGAUCGUAAGGACAUGUGGAGCGCUUAGAAGUGAGAAUGCCGGUGUGAGUAGCGAAAGACGGGUGAGAAUCCCGUCCACCGAUUGACUAAGGUUUCCAGAGGAAGGCUCGUCCGCUCUGGGUUAGUCGGGUCCUAAGCUGAGGCCGACAGGCGUAGGCGAUGGAUAACAGGUUGAUAUUCCUGUACCACCUAUAAUCGUUUUAAUCGAUGGGGGGACGCAGUAGGAUAGGCGAAGCGUGCGAUUGGAUUGCACGUCUAAGCAGUAAGGCUGAGUAUUAGGCAAAUCCGGUACUCGUUAAGGCUGAGCUGUGAUGGGGAGAAGACAUUGAGUCUUCGAGUCGUUGAUUUCACACUGCCGAGAAAAGCCUCUAGAUAGAAAAUAGGUGCCCGUACCGCAAACCGACACAGGUAGUCAAGAUGAGAAUUCUAAGGUGAGCGAGCGAACUCUCGUUAAGGAACUCGGCAAAAUGACCCCGUAACUUCGGGAGAAGGGGUGCUCUUUAGGGUUAACGCCCAGAAGAGCCGCAGUGAAUAGGCCCAAGCGACUGUUUAUCAAAAAC
rnacentral:rRNA from 1 species